rnacentral:rRNA from 1 species
CCUACGGGUGGCAGCAGUGAGGAAUAUUGGUCAAUGGCCGUAAGGCUGAACCAGCCAAGUCGCGUGAGGGAAGAAGGACCUAUGGGUUGUAAACCUCUUUUAUAGGGGAAUAAAGGGAGCCACGUGUGGAUAUUUGCAUGUACCCUAUGAAUAAGCAUCGGCUAACUCCGUGCCAGCAGCCGCGGUAAUACGGAGGAUGCGAGCGUUAUCCGGAUUUAUUGGGUUUAAAGGGUGCGUAGGUGGUUUUUUAAGUCAGCGGUGAAAGUUUGUGGCUCAACCAUCACAUUGCCGUUGAAACUGGUUGUCUUGAGUGUGUUUGAGGUAGGCGGAAUGCGUGGUGUAGCGGUGAAAUGCAUAGAUAUCACGCAGAACUCCGAUUGCGAAGGCAGCUUAC